rnacentral:lncRNA from 1 species
UCUACCGCUACCCAGCAUUACUCAUCUUGUGCAACCUCUCGUCUUUCUUAUUUCACUCCCUUUUCUGGAGUUUGUCUUCACCAGCGGUAGCAACAAAAGCAAGAUAAGUAAACACACUUCUACAAAGUCGCUGAAACAUGGAUCCAUUAACCCUGUAAACCUAAAGAUCAAGUGAAAGAAAAAAUAAAAUAGAAACUUCUCAUCAGCAAGUAAAAGUUCAGGAAGUCACUGGAACAUAGAUCCCAAGAUCAAGUGAAGAACAAUGGAAUUAAAACAUAAAGUAGCAAUAAUAAUGGAAGGGAAGAUCAGCCAUGCCAGUCUACGUAAAGCAAUCCAAAUAAUCCUUCCCUCCUAAUCAUGCUCAGCUAUGCUAACUCUGUAUUGGAUAGAGAAUGGUUUCACCUAUGAGUUCACAACAGUACUACAUUAUUGGUAGAGCAAGCAUUAGGCUUAAUCCAAGAAUAAGAAGUGCGUCGCAAAUGGACAAGCUCCAAGUCAACACGCUGAUUGUUGUAAAAAUACACCAUAUCGACAUUCCUUCAAUUUUGGCAACAAAUAAAAAGAAAAUAGAAAUACUUUGUUCAAGCUAGUAUAGAUGUAGAGAAAAUAAGCCUUUAAAAUGUGUGGUAUGUGGUUGGCUUACAGAUACUCUUAUAUGUCUAAAUUUCUCCACAUAAUGUAGGUUUCAUUAUACAAGAUGCAUCAAAACUGAAGUUGAAUGGAUGGAUAUGUACCAGCGUACAUAGAUAUGUAUGCAUCCAGCAACCACAUGGGAAAAAAUAUUGAAGUGAAGCCAUCUGUGCUGAACCCCACAGUUCUGAAUCUAAAUCUUAAAUGCCCAUCACAUUGGCACUCAAUGGUUACACCGACUACUGAAAUUUCUUAGUAGAAAACAACAUCAUUUACGAACCUUUCUCUUUAAAACACCACUAAUACUGCAAUUUUGGAGUCUAACCAUACACCACUAAUACUGCACAUAGUCUGCAUCCUGCCAUGUACUAACUGAAAUAUAUGGAGCUUGCUAUGUUGUGUUAAAAUAAAAUAAGCCGGUCUUUUCUCUGCCCCGCAAAAGGUCAGUCUUUUGCCAUCCUCAAACAAGUUUGUGACAGACUAUGAUUGCACUUCACAUACAUGAAGUAACAAAGAAAUAGUUUCAACUUAAAAAAACAGAGAUUAGUAAGAAGGAUAUAUGUUCUCAUUGUGCAUAUGAAUGGGCAUCAUAAAUCAAAGAAUUGAAUCUCAAGAUGAAACUUCUAUCACAGCCAGGUAUGAGUACCAAUGUGCAGGUAGGCAUGCGGGUUUAACCUGAUUCGUGCACACUAAUUAGACAUCUUUUUAGAUGGUCAGUACUAAGCAUGUACUCCCUCCGUUCCAAAAUAGAUGACUCGACUUUGUACUAACUCAAAGUCGAGUCAUCUAUUUUGGAACGGAGGGAGUAGUACUGAAGCAGUACUUUCUUUUGAUGUAUACUUACUUGCUACUCCAACUUGCAGUACUGAAGCAUGUACCACACUAAUUAGACAUAUUAGAUGGUAAGUUCCUUCAGACUUGCACAUAGACAUGGUGUCAUUUAUGUCAGAACAAUGUACACGGCAG